CAGAAUUGCCAGAUAAAAUACAGGAUGCCCAGUUAAAUUUGAAUUUCAGAUAAACAACAGAAACUUUUCUUUUUACUAUAAAUAUGUCCUAAAUAUUGCAUGGGACCUACUUAUAUGAAUAAAGUAUUUGUUGUUUAUCUAAAAUUUGAAUGGAAAGACUGGGAGUCUAGUCUUUUUAUUUGCCAAAGCUGGCAACCUGAGCCUCUCUGUUCCCCAACCCACAAAAUGAAACAUGCCCAGAAAAGGACCUGCUUGUCAUCCCUCUGUCACUCUGGGGCAGAGGAAGGGAAUUUAAAGUCGCUAUAAAAUGGGGCUUAACCUCUUGUUCAAAUGACUCCAGUACUAGCCAAAAAUAGGGAACAUGUUUUUUGAUCAGGGAUUGCUUUUGAGAACCCCUGGAAUCAUGGAGCUGGCCUCCUGCCUUAACGUUUGAAGUUGAGUCCAUCCCAUGGGCCAGUUGUCGGGGCCCCACAGCCUCUCCCUUUUCCCAGGGUGAAUAUCAGGGCUGUAUUCAUAGAAAGUGCACAGUCCCCAGCCAUGACCAUUGAGCUGAGUUAAAAAACAUAUAUACAUGUAUUUUAUUUUAGAGAAGAAAAUCUCAUUUAAGUUCCAGGUGCCUGAGUACUGAUUCAUGAUGACAGCUCUAGGAUUGGUUUUUGUAUCCUUACUAGUCUGGUUCUCCGGAAUCCAGAGGACCUGUGUGUAUCUUGUGCAAUGGCACUAAAUCCCCUUUCUGGGUGCUCAGAACCAACGAGAGUUCCCCAGCCCCACGCCGCCUUCCCAGGCCCAGAAGCUUAUGGGAUGAAGUCCAGCCCCAUUGUCCUGCCAGACAGUCGGAGCCCUGCAUGGCUUGCUCGGCCCCUUACUCCUCUGUUUCCUGCCGUGUGGAUCCCACAUCCUCUGGCUGGGCCCUCCUCCAUGAGGCUUGUUUCUGUUGUCCGUGCCCCGUGUUCCCUUGUGCUGCACUCCCCCAGCUCCAUCCUCCUGAGAUGCUCUCACCACCCAGCCAAGUCUUGUCUUUUGGGACCAUUGUUCCUCCAACUCUCCAGGCUACUGCUCCUUUGGCCUUUGGAAUCCUGGGAUCCUUUCCCAUCCAUGCCCUCCAUUUAUUUACGAGGUUGAUGCCUCAUGUUCAGGAUCCCAUACCCUUUGUUCCUGUUCUCGUACAGAGGUAGGAAAGGUCCUGAGAGGAAAAGUCAUGCCAUUUUGUGCUAACACUUGACAUAUUGCCUUGAACAUAAUAGAUACUUGCUGGGUCAAAAAAUUUUAACAUUAGGGUGUUCCCGUCAUGGCUCAGCAGUUCAUGAACCUGAGGAUUCAGGUUCAAUCCCUGGCCUUGCUCAAUGGUGGGUUAAGGAUCUGGCGUUGCCACGAACUGUGGUGUAGGUCGCAGACUCGGCUCGACUCUGAUGUUGCUGUGGUUCUGGUGUGGGCCGGCAGCUGUAACUCCAAUUUGCCCCUUAGCCUGGGAACUGCUAUAUGCUGUGGGUAUGGCACUAGAAAAGACAAAAAAAAAAAAAAAAAAAAAAAAA
rnacentral:lncRNA from 1 species